CUAUGUCUGGAUCAUCCCAUGGAAAUUUAACCCUUAGAAAGGAGAGGUGGAAUUUGCCAAAGCAAAUUACAAAUUACAAUUUACAUUUCCUCUUACUAAAAAUUAGAAGAAAUAGAUUUUCUCACUCCUAGUGGGUUGUAUAUUUAUUCCUCAUUCUUGUGUCCUCUACCAGAGGCCUGGGAGUCUGAGGAUUCUGUGGAGUAAUUUAGCUGUUCCUAGAACUGCAC